rnacentral:rRNA from 1 species
AGUGAACGCUGGCGGCGUGCUUAAGACAUGCAAGUCGAACGGCAGUCUUCGGACUGUAGUGGCGCACGGGUGAGUAACGCGUAACUGACCUACCCCAAAGUCGCGGAUAACGAUUCGAAAGAAUCGCUAAUACGUGAUGUGCUGUCAGAUUGUGUUCUGCCAGUAAAGAUUGAUUGCUUUGGGAUGGGGUUGCGUUCCAUCAGCUAGUUGGUGGGGUAAAGGCCGACCAAGGCGACGACGGAUAGCCGGCCUGAGAGGGUGGCCGGCCACAGGGGAACUGAGACACGGGUCGCACUCCUACGGGAGGCAGCAGUAAGGAAUCUUCCACAAUGGGCGAAAGCCUGAUGGAGCGACGCCGCGUGAGGGAUGAAGGUCUUUGGAUCGUAAACCUCUGAAUCAGGGACGAAAGACACUUCGGUGGGAUGACGGUACCUGAGUAAUAGCACCGGCUAACUCCGUGCCAGCCGCCGCAGUAACAC